rnacentral:rRNA from 1 species
AUGCAGUCGAACGGUAACAUUUCUAGCUUGCUAGAAGAUGACGAGUGGCGGACGGGUGAGUAAUGCUUGGGAACUUGCCUUUGCGAGGGGGAUAACAGUUGGAAACGACUGCUAAUACCGCAUAAUGUCUUCGGACCAAACGGGGCUUCGGCUCCGGCGCAAAGAGAGGCCCAAGUGAGAUUAGCUAGUUGGUAAGGUAACGGCUUACCAAGGCGACGAUCUCUAGCUGUUCUGAGAGGAAGAUCAGCCACACUGGGACUGAGACACGGCCCAGACUCCUACGGGAGGCAGCAGUGGGGAAUAUUGCACAAUGGGGGAAACCCUGAUGCAGCCAUGCCGCGUGUGUGAAGAAGGCCUUCGGGUUGUAAAGCACUUUCAGUUGUGAGGAAAAGUUAGUAGUUAAUACCUGCUAGCCGUGACGUUAACAACAGAAGAAGCACCGGCUAACUCCGUGCCAGCAGCCGCGGUAAUACGGAGGGUGCGAGCGUUAAUCGGAAUUACUGGGCGUAAAGCGCACGCAGGCGGUUUGUUAAGCUAGAUGUGAAAGCCCCGGGCUCAACCUGGGAUGGUCAUUUAGAACUGGCAGACUAGAGUCUUGGAGAGGGGAGUGGAAUUCCAGGUGUAGCGGUGAAAUGCGUAGAUAUCUGGAGGAACAUCAGUGGCGAAGGCGACUCCCUGGCCAAAGACUGACGCUCAUGUGCGAAAGUGUGGGUAGCGAACAGGAUUAGAUACCCUGGUAGUCCACACCGUAAACGCUGUCUACUAGCUGUGUGUGUCUUUAAGACGUGCGUAGCGAAGCUAACGCGCUAAGUAGACCGCCUGGGGAGUACGGCCGCAAGGUUAAAACUCAAAUGAAUUGACGGGGGCCCGCACAAGCGGUGGAGCAUGUGGUUUAAUUCGAUGCAACGCGAAGAACCUUACCUACACUUGACAUGCUGAGAAGUUACUAGAGAUAGUUUCGUGCCUUCGGGAACUCAGACACAGGUGCUGCAUGGCUGUCGUCAGCUCG